GCGACUGAUCCUCCACGGCCCGGGGACCUGCUCCGCGCGCCCGCGCGGGGGUGGCCCUGACUCAGCGGCCGCCCCGCCCCAUCCGGCGCCCCAGCCUCCAGCGCCUGGCCUGGGCGCACCUGGCCUCCCGGGUUCUGGGUCCCCGCCGGGCCACGCCCGAACCGUCUCGUCUGGGCCGGGGGUGCUCGGGCGCACGGAGGGCCCGGGGCUCCACCUUGGCCGGGUCGAGGCCCAGGGUGGCCGGAACAGGUGAGGACCAGCGCCCGACAGGAGCCCAGGGCCGCGCUAGCUCUCCGGUGGGUGUGGGGGCUGGGCUGGACACACCCACCCCAGCCCCUCUCACUUCAAAGGGAACUUCGUGGGAGGGGGAAGGGGAGGGGUAAAGAGAAAGUGAAACUGGAGGGAGGGAGGUUUCUGCUUCUCAGACCCUGAACCCCCACCCCGCAGCCCACAGGGGUAGCCCCGUACCUGCCUCCUCAUUUCCCACGCGGGGGGAGGGACGCCCUACCCCCUCACGCAGCAAGGGCCUGAGCCUCGCUCCCCCCACUCACAGCCCAGCCCCGAACGUCCUGGCGCAGCUGGCCCUGCCGGUCCUACCCACUUAGUCACCUGGAGGUGUCCAGGCCUGACCAGUGGCGCCUCCCAGGGACUCUGCUUCAGCAGAACAUGGCAGCUGAGGGGAGGGCUCAGGCUCUAGGAAAUACCCUAGAGCCCCCUUCAGCACUUGCCCCAAGUCUGGAGCCAUUAGUGUGUCUGUAUGGGGUUGGGCAGCAGGGUGGUGACCAUUCAUUCCAGUGCAGGGCGGUGACACGCCAUCCCACCACCCGCCCAGCCAGCCAGGAGCCAAGUGCUCAGGAGCCAAGGUGAGCCCCAGACCAGAACACAGCCACCAGAUCUGAGGGACCCCCCAGACAUUUCCACAUGGGCCGCGUGUGGCUCAACCACCGCAGCCACCCUGGAAAGGGAAUCAGAAAGGUUUUGUUAUUUUCAUUUUGCAGUUGGGGAAACUGAGGCUCAGGGAGGGACAGUGACUUCUGGGGAUUGCACAGCUCUUGGUGGUAGAGAAGGGAUGACAGGCCUUGCCAUCGCUGCAUCUGUGGGUCUCAGUGCCUGGGUGUGGAGUCCGAGGGGCUGCGGCAUGGGGGUGGGGAUGGAAGUGGGCAUAGGGGAGCUUGAGAUCAAGAACAGGAGCUUGGGAGCUCCUCCCCCAACACAACUGCAUGGGCAAGAAGAACCCACCUCUCUUCUUUUCUUUUUUUUUUUCUUUUUUUUUGAGACCUAGUCUUGCUGUGUUGCCCAGGCUGGAGUGCAGUGGUGCGAUCUUGGCUCGCUGCAACCUCCAUCUUCCCAGUUCAAGCGAUUCUCCCACCUCAGCCUCCCAAGUAGCUGGGACCACAGACACAAACCACCACACCUGGCUAAUGUUUUUAUUUAUUUUUUAAGAGACAGAGUUUCGCCAUGUUGGCUGUUCUCAAACUCCUAGGCUCAAGCUAUCCACCCGCCUCGGCCUCCCAAAGUGCUGGGAUUGCAGGUGUGAGCCACCAAGCCUGGCCACCACUCCUUAAUUCUAAGUUCUGGUCUAGCCCAGUCCUGGGCAGACUCUUCCCGACGCACAGCCACUUGGAUGGGCUCCCCUCGCCCAGGUGGCUCCCGUGUCCAGCAUCCAAGGGAACUGACGAGAGAGGACGGGGAGAAGGUGACAAGUACAAGCACCUGCAGUUCCCACCAGCAGCAGGAAAUAUUGAGGUGUGACCAGAAGGGGAACUUCCUAGCAUACACGAGAAAUCUGGUUACCUCCAGCUGGGGAAGGGCGGUCCUGGAGGGCCCUCAGCUGAGGAGUCUGAUUUUAGGAUAGAAAAUGCUGGUGAAAAAGACAGUAGUCGUGAUGGAGAGGAGAUGUUCCCCAGAGAUAGCCCUGGGAUCCAGGUGAUUCGAGAUGGGCUAUAGGAACCAAGGCCUCCCCCAGCGUGAAAUUACCAGGUGUGAGCGGCGCCACCCCACUGUGGGGAGGCGGGUCCCACGGGCACUGGGCACCUGGCUGUGCCUCAUUCCUGAGUCUCCCACAGCCUCACACCACAGCAAGAGACAAGGCGGCCCUGAUUCACAGCCCAGCUCUGCCCUGUGCCAACGCAGAGCCCUGGGCGCAGGACGGGGCCACUCUGUGCCUUAGCUUCCUCAGCCAUGAAGUAGGAUAGACGGGGACCCGGUGCCCUCCUACAGGCACAGUGGGGACGAAACACACCAACGCGGCGCAGGACACGAACGCUCCAAGCCUGUCUGUCCCGGCUGUUCCCACUGCACGCCAGAGAGCCAGAGGCCUUGGGGCCAGGUCACUGCCCAGCUCAGAGCCCAGGGAGCCCCGAGCAGUGGCCCUGCACCUCCUGCCACUUCUGGGUGAUUCUAGAGGAGUCCCCUUACCCAGGGCCCCUCUGGCCUCUCCCCAAGGGGCACAAAACGGCCCCCGAGAAAGCUCCCAGACUCAAGCCUAUGACUCUUCACAGCCUCCUGAGACACUGGCCCAGUCCCGGGGCUCCCUGUGGUAGGGCCCUACAUCCCACGAGGGUUUGGAGGGGACUGACAAUGGGGGUCUGGCUGCCCAGCCUUGUGAGGAGCUCUCCCCAUCUGCCCAGCCCGUGGCCCCCAAGCCGUCUCUGCCGAACUCCAUCAGUGACCCAGUUGGAGAAAGGCCAGCUUGACAAAUGCUCUCUGCGGGACAAGCAGGAUGAGUGGGCGUUUCUACACUACAGGACACUCACCCCCGGCAUCAGUCGGUGUGUCUACACUGGCAGGUUGGCACCUGCUCUGGGAGGGUGCUGCCAUGUGGGCUAACGUGAGCCACCUGCAGCUUUCACAACCCGGAGCAGCACUGAGUGGGGUGGCGUGAGCAACAGGCUCUGCCCAGCCCCUCAGGAGCUGAGGGAAGCAGGGUGGCCUGGCUCACGGUGGAGGCUGCAUCAGGAGCUUCAGGCAGAGCAGGGGCUGGAAUGGUCCCCAGGGGCUCACCACCAGAGUGUGAAGCCCCCUUGACACUCACAGGCUUCCGCAGCCCUAUGGAGCCCUGGUGUGGCCCUGGCCUGAGAGGGGGGCCGGGUGCAGCGAUACUGGGGUGACAGAAAACCAGACAGCAACUGGGACGGGACUGUGAGGACUAAAGAGUUAAGCAGGGGCAGCAUGCUCAUCCAGGGGUUGGAGGGCUGCCUGGGGGAGGGGACUUCAAGCUCCAGAAUGAAGGCGCAGGAGGUAAGGAGAUGGGCAGAGGGUGUCUGGAGGAGGGACCAGCCUGGGCAAAGGCAGGGUGGCAGGAAGGGGGAGUGGCAGCUGGGAAAGGACCACUUGGCCAAGUCACGUCCAUGCACCCCACCCUGCCCAGCUCACACGCACAGCUGCCCCCGGAAGGAUGGGCCAAGUGACCCCCGCAGAGACCCCACAGAGCCUGGGCCUGACUCCCCACACACAUCCACAGUCCCGGACCCAGACAGAGCCUCUCAGAGCCAGGCUGUACAG
rnacentral:lncRNA from 1 species